CACAAGCGGUGGAGCAUGUGGUUUAAUUCGAAGACAACGCGAAGAACCUUACCAGGUCUUGACAUCCCGAUGCUAUUUCUAGAGAUAGAAAGUUACUUCGGUACAUCGGUGACAGGUGGUGCAUGGUUGUCGUCAGCUCGUGUCGUGAGAUGUUGGGUUAAGUCCCGCAACGAGCGCAACCCCUAUUGUUAGUUGCCAUCAUUCAGUUGGGCACUCUAGCGAGACUGCCGGUAAUAAACCGGAGGAAGGUGGGGAUGACGUCAAAUCAUCAUGCCCCUUAUGACCUGGGCUACACACGUGCUACAAUGGUUGGUACAACGAGUUGCGAGUCGGUGACGGCGAGCUAAUCUCUUAAAGCCAAUCUCAGUUCGGAUUGUAGGCUGCAACUCGCCUACAUGAAGUCGGAAUCGCUAGUAAUCGCGGAUCAGCACGCCGCGGUGAAUACGUUCCCGGGCCUU
rnacentral:rRNA from 1 species